rnacentral:rRNA from 1 species
CCCUUAGAUGUCCGGGGCUGCACGCGCGCUACACUGAAGGAAUCAGCGUGCUAAAACCAUUGUCGAAAGGCAUUGGUAAACCCAUUAAAAUCCUACGUGAUUGGGAUCGGGAAUUGCAAUUAUUUCCCUUGAACGAGGAAUUCCCAGUAAGUGUGGGUCAUAAGCUCGCGUUGAUUACGUCCCUGCCCUUUGUACACACCGCCCGUCGCUGCCCGGGACUGAGCCGUUUCGAGAAAAGCGGGGACCGCUGCUGUCGGGGCUUUCGGGCCUUGGCUUCGGUGGAAACCGCUUUAAUCGCAGUGGCUUGAACCGGGCAAAAGUCGUAACA